rnacentral:rRNA from 1 species
AUUGAACGCUGGCGGAAUGCUUUACACAUGCAAGUCGAACGGCAGCAUAGGUGCUUGCACCUGAUGGCGAGUGGCGAACGGGUGAGUAAUACAUCGGAACGUGCCCAGUCGUGGGGGAUAACGUAGCGAAAGUUACGCUAAUACCGCAUACGAUCUAAGGAUGAAAGCGGGGGACCGUAAGGCCUCGCGCGAUUGGAGUGGCCGAUGUCAGAUUAGGUAGUUGGUGAGGUAAAGGCUCACCAAGCCGACGAUCUGUAGCUGGUCUGAGAGGACGACCAGCCACACUGGGACUGAGACACGGCCCAGACUCCUACGGGAGGCAGCAGUGGGGAAUUUUGGACAAUGGACGCAAGUCUGAUCCAGCCAUUCCGCGUGCAGGACGAAGGCCUUCGGGUUGUAAACUGCUUUUGUACGGAACGAAAAAGCUCUUACUAACACUAGGAGUCCAAGACGGUACCGUAAGAAUAAGCACCGGCUAACUACGUGCCAGCAGCCGCCGUAA